AGAUUGAACGCUGGCGGCAUGCCUUACACAUGCAAGUCGAACGGCAGCACGGGAGCAAUCCUGGUGGCGAGUGGCGAACGGGUGAGUAAUAUAUCGGAACGUGCCCAGUCGUGGGGGAUAACGCAGCGAAAGCUGUGCUAAUACCGCAUACGAUCUAUGGAUGAAAGCGGGGGAUCGCAAGACCUCGCGCGAUUGGAGCGGCCGAUAUCAGAUUAGCUAGUUGGUGGGGUAAAAGCCUACCAAGGCGACGAUCUGUAGCUGGUCUGAGAGGACGACCAGCCACACUGGAACUGAGACACGGUCCAGACUCCUACGGGAGGCAGCAGGUAGGGGAAUUUUGGACUAAGUGGGCGCGAAGCCCUGGAUCCAGGACUAAGUCGCCGCCGUG
rnacentral:rRNA from 1 species